GCGGGGUGGAGCAGUCUGGUAGCUCGUCGGGCUCAUAACCCGAAGGUCGCAGGUUC
rnacentral:tRNA from 1 species